AAAAUGAUCAAGAUUCUUGAAAAACAAUAAGAGAAGUGGCACAAGCAUCCAAUAGACAAAGGCAAUAGCACUCUGCAUCAGGCUGGAAGCAGAAAAGCCUUAGUGCUCCAUUUUAAAGCAUAUGACUUUUUCUAUGACUAACCCCGACUGAAACUCGAAUUUGAGAUUUUACGAUACUAAAAACGACUCCAAGACCCCAAAAUUAAAACUCAUUUUCUUUUGAAAAAAUAUCGAUCAUGAAAAAUCAUAAGUGAAGCCAAAUUACUCUUGCUUGAAAUUUUUGAAACACUGAAAAACAUAAUAAAUCUUGGAAAUGCAUAUCAAUAAGGUGUACUAACAUCUUAUGUUUUGAGGAGAGGU
rnacentral:misc_RNA from 1 species